ensembl:lncRNA JUN-DT JUN divergent transcript
AGUUUCCUUUGCUCCAGGACCGGAUGCGGAGCCGGGACUCAGGUGGAGGCAGGAGAAAUACGCACCCUGGGUGCACCUAUUCCUAUCAGGCGAAGGCCGCCUUUCCUGGCCUCCCCCACAGGCCCGCCAGCGAUUCGUCCUUACAAGGCUAGCCUCCACGGGCUGCCCUCUGUGUAAAUAAAGCCACAGACUUCCGCCCACAGGUCGCCGCAGGUCCCGCCCGCAGCGCCGGGCCGCGGGGGAGGCGGGAACUGGUGCUACGGCCGCUACGCAGGCCUCGGGAGGCUCGGAGCCCGCCACGCCCCAGCCCUCUCGCAGGGCCGGGGAGCCACGGGGCCAAAAGGAGGAGCAGGUGGAAGAAAUCCAGGCUCAGACCGUCGGAGUCCCCACCCAUGAGCACCCUUCUCCACUGAUCACUCAGAACAUGGUAGGCCCUAGAGAGACAGCAGCCCGAAUCUUCCCAGAAACCCUGCAGGAGAUUCCUUCUUCCCAUUUUAUAGAAGGGAGGCUGAGGCUCGGCACGUUGAAAUGGCUUGACCAAGGUCCCACAGGCAAAAAAAUGGUACAGCAAGAUAUUGUAACCCAAUAUCUGGCUGCAAAACCCAGUCUCUCCCCAACCCACCUAUCGUCACCGAGAUUGUAAAACUUCUAACCGGGAAGAAUCAAAUACAUGCACAACGGGUUACAGGUUAACAGACAGAUGGGAGCGGAAAGGGACAUUCCAGCGCUUCCCUGGGCGUGUCGCACAGGGCAACUCCAACCACAGGCGAAUUUUCCUGGGUGACAGUUAAACUCCUUUUUGCAUGAAAAAAUACAGAUUCUUAUUAAAACAAUAAUCGAUUAGACUAUAAAA